rnacentral:rRNA from 1 species
AAUCAACGCUGGCGGCGUGCCUCAGACAUGCAAGUCGAACGAUUAAAGCUCUCUUCGGAGAGUGUAUAGAGUGGCGCACGGGUGAGUAACACGUAAGUAAUCUACCUUUGAGUGGGGAAUAACAGUCGGAAACGGCUGCUAAUACCGCAUAACGCAGCGGCACCGCAAGGUGACAGUUGUUAAAGGAGCAAUCCGCUUAAAGAGGAGCUUGCGGCAGAUUAGCUGUUGGUAAGGUAACGGCUUACCAAGGCUACGAUCUGUAUCCGGUCUAAGAGGACGGUCGGACACACUGACACUGAAUAACGGGUCAGACUCCUACGGGAGGCGGCAGUCGGGAAUUUUGGGCAAUGGGCGAAAGCCUGACCCAGCAACGCCGCGUGAAGGAUGAAGUAUUUCGGUAUGUAAACUUCGAAAGAAUAGGAAGAAUAAAUGACGGUACUAUUUAUAAGCUCCGGCUAACUACGUGCCAGCAGCCGCCGU